GAUCAGUCUCAGGCCAGGAACCUGGCAACCCUAGACAGAAGUCAGAUGUCUCUCCCCUCAUUGAACAAACAGGUGAAUGAUCAUGUCCUGCAAUGUUUGUUCUGUACAACAACAUCAUCUAGACUACAGCGCAGGAGCCCUAAAACUGAUCAGGGCUGGGCCUAGUCAAUGCCUGGAUAAGAGACCAACUAAGAAUGAAUUCUUAUGUAUGUACUACCUUGAAUGGAAGAAAGCAGGCCUGAAUGUCUGCUUUUAGGGCUGAAAUGUCUAUGUCUGCUGGCCUGGACCCCCUUCUGGAACAUGAGAACAAAAAGCUUGGCAAGGCUUUAGUCAAGCUGAGAUCAUGUAUCAGGGGUGAAGAAGACAGAAGACUCGUUAGCAGCUCUGAGUGACCUUCAUGUGUCUCCAUGUACUCUGAUACGGCUUGGAGUAUGUCACUCCCCCAAAAUAACUAAUUUAAAAUAAAAUACCA